GAUGAACGCUAGCUACAGGCUUAACACAUGCAAGUCGAGGGGAAACGAUAUUGGAAGCUUGCUUCCGAUAGGCGUCGACCGGCGCACGGGUGAGUAACGCGUAUCCAACCUGCCCAUCACUUCGGGAUAACCUUGCGAAAGUAAGACUAAUACCCAAUGACGUCCCUAUAAGACAUCUGAAGGAGAUUAUAGAUUUAUUGGUGAUGUAUGGGGAUGCGUCUGAUUAGCUUGUUGGCGGGGUAACGGCCUACCAAGGCGACGGUCAGUAGGGGUUCUGAGAGGAAGGUCCCCCACAUUGGAACUGAGACACGGUCCAAACUCCUACGGGAGGCAGCAGUGAGGAAUAUUGGUCAAUGGGCGAGAGCCUGAACCAGCCAAGUAGCGUGCAGGAAGACGGCCCUAUGGGUUGUAAACUGCUUUUAUAAGGGAAUAAAGUGGGAGUCGUGACUCCUUUUGCAUGUACCUUAUGAAUAAGGACCGGCUAAUUCCGUGCCAGCCGCCGCAGUAA
rnacentral:rRNA from 1 species